rnacentral:rRNA from 1 species
UAACUACUGGCACCUUGACGGUACCUCACCAGAAAGCCACGGCUAACUACGUGCCAGCAGCCGCGGUAAUACGUAGGUGGCAAGCGUUGUCCGGAAUUAUUGGGCGUAAAGCGCGCGCAGGCGGUCCUUUAAGUCUGAUGUGAAAGCCCACGGC